rnacentral:lncRNA from 1 species
ACGGGAUGCAAGCCGGGGAGGGGUGCGGAUGGAGGCAGAUUUACCCCGUGGGAGCCCCUUCGAGGCGCCGCUGGGACACGGGCUCCCGUAUCUGCAGCACAGGACACCGAGGCACAGAAACCCCAAGUGGAAUCUCCUGUCUUAUUCCGGUACGAAGAGAUAUUCCAGUAAGAAGAGGUAGCCAAAAGGACAAGGAGAAAAUGUCCUGGAUGGUCACAGGUGCCGGCAAGUCCUUUAUAGGGACCCCAGCGCCUCCAGUCACUAAGCCGAGGUGGCCCUGGGGACCGCCAGGCACCGGCCUCGCCGUUGGCUCCAGCACAGAGUUCUGGCUCGAAGAACCACUGACGAUGCUCCAGGAGGCUCCUCAGGUCUCUUGCCAAGAGAUGCCCGAGAGGGAACAUUAGGAUGACGGAGGAUCGUUGAAAGCGUCUCCAGUCAGCUCUCAUGGCAGCUAAAGGACAAAAACAGUACGACGUUAUGUGGUCACCGGUGUGGGGUCGUGAGUGUUUCAUUUCUUUUCCAGUAACUGCAGUCUCCCCAGUGAAGGGGAUUCAGUAAAUGAUCUUUACUAUCUAAGCCUUUGUAGGAUGUUUCAGGGAACUAAAUGCAGGAAUGGGGGGGAGGGUGGCUGCAAGUGGCCCAGGGACGUCACAGCCUGGCUUAGGGAGCCUCCGUGUGGUGCGGGCAGCCCCGGCGGUACCCGUCCCUGUGUGCUUGGGGCCCGUCCCUGUAUUUGCGUUGGGGCCUCGCGAGGGGGCUGCCCAGCAAGCGGGCGUCCAAGCCCUGCAGCCCCGACUUCCCCCUCCUCUCUGGGGCUUUCGGCCGCAGGUCCGGCUGUAACCCUAACCUGUGCGGAGCUCCAGUUUGCAUUUCUUUAGGCUCUAAGGGACACCAGGGGUUCCUGGGACUUAAGGAUCCAGUAUCCCAUCUCGGGAAGAAAGGGGUCUGAUAGGAUCUGAUUAAAUCUCCACCUGCCUUCUGGGGAGACCCUUGCACCGCGAGUAUAACGCACCUCCAGGAAAGCAGGGGCCGCCUGCACCCGGCUCGGUCAACUUGCCGGAGGCGGCGUCCCACGGCGCGGCCACCAGUCAAGAAGCAGGACCCGGCCAGCGCGCCCAGAGGCCCCGGGCGCCUCUGCCUUUGGCCGGAAGCACACGCCACCGCUCGUGCUAUGGGACAGCGGCGCUGAGGUUGGGCCUGUUUGAAAAGUUUGUGUGGAAUAACGGUCAGUGCUGCUGUGUCGGGCUCUGUGCCUGCGCGGUCUGCCCGCGCUGCUGGGGGACCCUGAUCUGGGGGCCGGGGCCUGGGGUUCUGGGGGCUGGGGGCCUGGACGCUGGGGGGUUGG